rnacentral:rRNA from 1 species
CGUCUAUAUACGUAUAGCAUAUCAAUAAGCGGAGGAAAAGAAACUAACUAGGAUUCCCUUAGUAACGGCGAGUGAAGCGGGAAGAGCUCAAAUUUGAAAUCUUCAAGGUUCUACCUUGACGAAUUGUAGUUUAUAAGAAGUGUUUUCUGUUGGAGUUUUGGUAAAAGUUCUUUGGAAUAGGACAUCAUAGAGGGUGAGAAUCCCGUAUUUGACCAUUAUUUCCAACUUUGUGAUACACUUUCAAAGAGUCGGAUUGUUUGGGAAUGCAGUCCAAAAUGGGUGGUAAAUUUCAUCUAAAGCUAAAUACUGGCGAGAGACCGAUAGCGAACAAGUACCGUGAGGGAAAGAUGAAAAGAACUUUGAAAAGAGAGUUAAACAGUACGUGAAAUUGUCAAAAGGGAAGCGUUUGACACCAGUGCUUGUUUUCUCGAAAAUCAAUUAAAAAUGGCAGGAUUUUGUGUUGUAUUGACUUUAUCAGCUUUCUGCACUUUUUUCCUUAUCUUUUUUAAUGCACUUUUCGUUUAACAAGUCAACAUCAAUUUCUUUUGCUGUAAAAGAGUCAUUGGAAGGUGGCUUUCUUUUCGGAGAAAGUGUUUAUAGCCUUUGGCCUCUGCAAUCGGAGAGAUUGAGGUCUGCAGCGUAGAUCCUUCGGGGUUAGAUACAUUUGUGCUAAGUUAUAGCCUUUCAUAGACAACUUGUUGACUAUGAUCAGUCAUGUAGCUUACUCGCUUAUGCUAUUUUACCUACGCUUAGGAUGUUGACGCGCGUGUGUGCGUG